rnacentral:rRNA from 1 species
GACGAACGCUGGCGGCGUGCUUAACACAUGCAAGUCGAGCGGUAAGGCCUCUUCGGGGGUACACGAGCGGCGAACGGGUGAGUAACACGUGAGUAAUCUGCCCUUCACUCUGGGAUAAGCACUCGAAAGGGUGUCUAAUACCGGAUACGACGCACUCUCGCAUGGGAUGUGUGUGGAAACUUUUGUGGGUGGGGGAUGUGCUCGCGGCCUAUCAGCUUGUUGGUGGGGUAAUGGCCUACCAAGGCUUUGACGGGUAGCCGGCUUGAGAGGGUGACCGGCCACACUGGGACUGAGACACGGCCCAGACUCCUACGGGAGGCAGCAGUGGGGAAUAUUGGACAAUGGGCGGAAGCCUGAUCCAGCAACGCCGCGUGAGGGAUGACGGCCUUCGGGUUGUAAACCUCUUUCAGUAUCGACGAAGCGCCCGUGUGGGUGGUGACGGUAGGUACAGAAGAAGCACCGGCCAACUACGUGCCAGCCGCCGCCGUAAAAC